rnacentral:rRNA from 1 species
CCUACGGGUGGCAGCAGUGAGGAAUAUUGGUCAAUGGCCGAGAGGCUGAACCAGCCAAGUCGCGUGAGGGAAGAAUGUCCUAUGGAUUGUAAACCUCUUUUGUCAGGGAGCAAAGUCACCCACGUGUGGGUGUUGGAGAGUACCUGAAGAAAAAGCAUCGGCUAACUCCGUGCCAGCAGCCGCGGUAAUACGGAGGGAGCGAGCGUUGUCCGGAAUUACUGGGUGUAAAGGGAGCGUAGGCGGGACUGCACGUUGGGUGUAAAAUCUACCGGCUCAACCGGUAGCCGCACUCAAAACUGCAGUUCUUGAGUGAAGUAGAGGCAGGCGGAAUUCCUAGUGUAGCGGUGAAAUGCGUAGAUAUUAGGAGGAACACCAGUGGCGAAGGCGGCCUGCUGGGCUUUUACUGACGCUGAGGCUCGAAAGUGUGGGGAGCAAACAGGAUUAGAUACCCGAGUAGUC